CACAUGCAAGUCGAACGGAAAGGCCCUGCUUGCAGGAUACUCGAGUGGCGAACGGGUGAGUAACACGUGGGUGAUCUGCCCUGCACUUCGGGAUAAGCUUGGGAAACUGGGUCUAAUACCGGAUAGGAACCAUCUUUAGUGUGGUGGUUGGAAAGUUUUUUCGGUGUAGGAUGAGCUCGCGGCCUAUCAGCUUGUUGGUGGGGUAAUGGCCUACCAAGGCGGCGACGGGUAGCCGGCCUGAGAGGGUGUACGGCCACAUUGGGACUGAGAUACGGCCCAGACUCCUACGGGAGGCAGCAGUGGGGAAUAUUGCACAAUGGGCGCAAGCCUGAUGCAGCGACGCCGCGUGGGGGAUGAAGGCCUUCGGGUUGUAAACUCCUUUCGCUAGGGACGAAGCUUUUUGUGACGGUACCUAGAUAAGAAGCACCGGCUAACUACGUGCCAGCAGCCGCGGUAAUACGUAGGGUGCGAGCGUUGUCCGGAAUUACUGGGCGUAAAGGGCUCGUAGGUGGUUUGUCGCGUCGUCUGUGAAAUUCUGGGGCUUAACUCCGGGCGUGCAGGCGAUACGGGCAUAACUUGAGUGCUGUAGGGGUAACUGGAAUUCCUGGUGUAGCGGUGAAAUGCGCAGAUAUCAGGAGGAACACCGAUGGCGAAGGC
rnacentral:rRNA from 1 species